rnacentral:lncRNA from 1 species
UGAUUCUCAAUUACAAAAUCAGUUAAAAAAAGAAAGAAAAAGAGAAAAAAAAAGCUCAGUCAGUNNNNNNNNNNNNNNNNNNNNUCUCUCUCUCUAUAUAUCCAAACUCAAACAGCUCUCUCUCCCUCAUUCCUCUCUCUCUCUCUCUUCUCUACCGACCUAAAAGCCCUAACUUUGUUCGAAAUUUCAAACUGAAUUUGAGGAAUUGCUUUAGGUUUUGUAGAAACAGAGAGAGAGAGAGCAGCGACCCAAUUCCAUUUCCGUUUGAGAUCAACGCUCGGAUCGAUCGAUUGAAGAGAACGAUGAGAGACCCAAUUCAAUUUCUGGUAAAUUCUCUUUUUUCUUGAAUCGUAAUUUGAUUCUAUGAUAUGUUGCCUUGCCUUGGAUUUUAUUAGUUGCCUUUGAGUAAUAAUAUUUAGCCUUCGAUUUAUGAGUUGCCUUGUUUUGGACAAAAUAGACCAUUUCUCAUCGUUCACGUAAUAUGGUUCUCGGUUUUAUAAUUGAGUUGUGUUUUUUGUAUUGAGAAAAUAAUUACAUCUACGCUUUUACAAACAUAAAGACAUCUGGUUGAAAAUUUUGUAAUAAAAUGUUCAAAUGUUAUAAUUACUAGAUCUGGACCAAAAUUACAGAUUUAUGACCCCUUUUAUAAAAUUGAGGACGAAUGUGUUGUCGAGAUGGUAAAUUUUCAGAUUUAGACCGAAUAGACCAUUUGUCCUCGUUCAUGUAAUAUAGUUCUCGGUUUUGUGAUUGAGUGGUGUAUUUUGUAUUAAGAAAAUAAUAACAUUUUUCACAACACUUUUACAAACAUAAAGACAUUAGAUUGAAAUUUUUGUAAUAAAUGUUCAUAUGUUUUAAUUACGAGGUAUAAACCAGAUUUACAAAUUUAUGACCCGUUUUACAAAAUUGAAGACGAAUAUAUUGUCGAAAUUGUAAAUUUUCAGAUUUGGACUAAAUAGAUCAUUUGUUCUCGUUUAUGUCGUUUAUGUAAUCUGGUUCUCGGUUUUGUAAUUGGGUGUUGUUUUUUGUAUUGAGAAAAUAAUUACAUUUUUUCAUAACGCUUUACAAAAAUAAGGACAUUUGGUUGAAACUUUUGUAAUAAAUGUCUAUAUGCUGUAAUUACGAAGACUUAGCAAAAUUUACGUGUUCUGCACGAAUUUAUUUAUAUUUGUGUAAUUGUGUUGUUAAGUUUGUAAAAUAAAAAAAAAAUGAAGAUGCCACAUGUCAGAAUCUAAAUGGGUAAAUAAAAAGAAAAAAAUAUAUUAAGUAUUGGUGGGUAUGCUAGCCUGUCUCAUAAGCUUUCAUCAUCCUCUGCCAAAUCUUCACCUAAUAAAAUUGGUUUUUUGCCAAAUGGCGUAUUUUUUUUUUUGAUAGAAUAUCUCGAAGAGAAUUAUUUAAUGAUUCAAAACAAUAUUUUUUACACAUCGGAGCUUCGUCCCAAAUGAUUAAAUCUGUCUUUUUAAGAAGUUCUGCGAGUUGUGUUCCUUUGCUUAUUGGACAUAUUGUAUCAUCAGUAACUUUAAAUGGUAUUUUAAAACGGGAAUGUGCAGUUCUACUGUUUGGAAGUAAUAACGAUGUAAUCCAGAGGAAGCACCGAUUAAAACUAUUUUUUCUUCAGAUCUUAUUUUGCUAGUUAUUGCAUGCCAUAAAAAUGUUUUUCCAGUUCCACCACUGCCAUAAACAAAAACAGUUCCAGAUCUUUUUUCUUCAGGAUAUGGAUCUUGUCCUUGGCUCAGUCAAAUCCUUGUUUAUCCUUAACUUUUCGUGUCGGUCAUCCGUUGCAAAUCGUAAGGUUAAUAACAAGCCACAUCAGCAGUUCAGUAAUAAUUACACAAACUUUGGGUUUCCAACACUAACAUCCGUCAUUUUUCUUACUUUACCGUCAAUGUUGUGCACGUCCUUUCAUCUUCUUCUCUUUAUCUUAGACUUUGUUGUUUCCGAAGACGGUUGGGCACUUCAGCAUAAUCAGCUUCAAUUCAUCAUCUUAUUCUUGAGUUGUGAGGUUUGUCAUUUUCAUUGUUCCAUUUUAUUAUGUAGAUUUCAAAAUCAGCUGUACAUCAGUUCCAAUUUGGAAUUCUUGAUCAUGCCAAGAAUCUUGAGUUCAAUUUACCAAGUUAUUUUGCCGCAAAACUUCUCUGCAAGAAGUCUGAUAAAAUUUUGGAUCUAUAUAAAAAUUGAAUCUUGCUAAUUUUUAAUCUGGCCAUGAAAUCAACUGAAUUCCACAGGUCGACCGAGAAGGCAUUAAAAAAAAAAAUACAGAUCUGAAAAAGCCACUAAUCGCCCCACAAUUGAUGGUUUCAAAAUAAAAAUAAAACAUUAAGCUUGACAAGUGAAGAAGAAUGAAGAAGAGGACGCUCUCCUUACCUGGAUAUUGGGAGGAUAUAGGUUGGAGAUGAAACGAUCUGGAAAGUCUUAUUGAUUUGGUAUGGAACAAAAAUAAACGUAGUAUGGCUUUGAUCUGGAACUGGAGUAAAGAAAAAAUGUAACGGAGGUUCUCCAUUGUGUUGCCUAAAUUUAUUUUUAGUGUAAUUAAUUAUUAUUUACUGAGCUGGACGCACUAGUCACCAUUGGAUCGCGAAUGGACGGCUGACAGAAAAAGCCAAGGAUAAACAAGGAUUUAACUGAGCCAAGGAGAGGAUCCAUAUCCUUUUCUUCAACUAUUUUCAUAACAUAAUUUUACACUAUUUUUUGACACAAUUAAUUUGGUUAUAAUAUUUUCAUGCUGAUGUUUUAAUACUUGUAAAUCAUAAUUGAGUUCUUCUUUUAACAAUCUGUUGCUAAGCUCUGACACUUUAUUUUCAUUUGGCAUUGGUAAAUUAAAAUUUCGUAAUGAAUGAGAUGACAUCUUAAAUAAUUUUUCUCACUCAAAUAAAAGACUAUUUUUCAAUUAAAGUUUAGGUAUGAUUAAAUCUAGAUCUUUCAAUUCUGUUCAUGUUUUGUGUAUAAUAUCAUCACACAUGCUUAACCAAUGUGUAUCGAGUAAUUUUUGUGGAUUUGCGACUUCACAAUAUAUAAUUAUUGUCGCAAACAAUCGGCGCAUUGCUGAUGCUGUAGCAAAGUGUGAGGAAUUUGUUAACGCAUCUCUCCAUUCUUUAUCGUCUACUAACAAACUCAAUGCUCGACAUGUUUCAUGAUAAGAAAAAUAUGUGAUACCAUUAAUUGUUUUUAUGUCAUCAUAAUUUUUACAGCCUCUUUUAAAAGUUUGUAACAGUCUCAUGAAAUACACUUCACCUCUUGAGGGAUGUACAUGGGACAUUAUUCCUAUAGUUUUAUAUUGUUUUCUUGGUGUCCUAUUUUUUUUUCUUUUGAAUUCCUUUCACAUCCCAAUUUUUGAAGGUUAAAUUUUCAAAAAAUUUGGGCAUGAUAAAACUCAAAAACUUAAUAUCCCAAAACCUGCUCAACAACUUCCAAACUAAAAUCAAAUACUAAAAUGUUAGUGUCAACAAACUUAUCAACCGAGUUAAACAUUAUAUCUCCUUAAUUACAUCAACUUCAAAAGUCUAGUAAUAAAAAAGUCGCUCACAUGAGCUUAAAAACAACUGCCAUAAUAUGCAAAAUAUAUGUAUAUCGUCUAAAACUCAGCUUCUAAGUCACUGCCUUAACCCCGCUAAACUUCACCUGCAGGUCUAACACCUACACCAUGAAUUGGUGCACCGGGUUGUAAACAACAAACUCGAUAAGCUAAAAAGCUCGUAUGAAUAACUCCCAAAAUAAUAAUUCAACAAUCCCAACAUCACAUAUAAUAAAAUUGGUAAUUCCUGCAUUAGUAACUUAGUUCAUGAAUCGCCUAAAAGCAAGAGAAUUCAAAAGAAAUAAUUAAGAAAACACAACAAUUCAAAAUCACUCAAAAUCAUAAAUGAAUCCUAUUAAAAUCACACAAUUAAGAUUAAAGAAUCUCCUGCGGAUAUGCAUAAUUCAGGAGAUAAUCAAACCAAAAAAUUUAAAUAACAACACAUAAGAAUAUUACACAAUCAUUUCUCUACUCUUACUUAUGAGUUCGUCAACACUUAGUCAUCCCCCAUAAGUAACCAAACAAACGCGUAUUCAUGGGUUCGUCAACACUUAGUCAUCCCCCAUAAUGUACCGACAGACAGACUAGAGCUCUAUACUGACCGUAACUAAUCACCCGGCCAAAGCUUGGUUCCCGGUCCACCACAAAGGCUCCUAAUCUAAUGCACACAAUUACCACUAAGGCACACACAUCCACAAUUAAUGCACACAAUCACCACUAAAGCACACAUUUAAAUACUCUCCCAUCAUAACAUUUAUUAAAAUCACAAAAUAAUAAUAUCAUCAUAACCAUAACCAAUCACCCGAUUAAAAGCUUGGAACCCGGUUUGACUAUUUAAACAACAAUUCACAAUAUAAAAAUAUCAUAAACAAUAACACAAGUGCACAUCAUAAAUUAUAUAUUUCCACCUAGAUAUAUUCAUAUGAAAAAAAAAUAGAUAUUCCCACUAGAAUAAUCUAUCAACAACCAUAUUUCAACAUGGCAAUAUCACAUGAUCAUAAGGUGUCUUUCACACAAACAUACGUGGAUAUAAAUAUUUAAAAGAAUUAAAAUUUGUUUAGUCCUUGUAGUUUAAAGUCGACAUCUGUGUAGUCCUUGUGGUUUUAUUUUAAUCUGAAUAGUCCUUAAAGUCACAAUUUUUCAUCCAAAUAGUCCUUAUGGUUUUAUUUUAAUCUGAAUAGUCCUUAAAGUCAUGAUUUUUCAUCUAAAUAGACAUUCAGACAAUUUUCUCAGUUAAAGGUCAUAAGGACUAUUUGGAUGAAAAAUCAUGACUUUAAGGACUAUUCAAAUUUAAAUAAAAUCAGAAAGACUAUUUGGAUGAAAAAUCGUGACUUUAAGGACUAUUUAGAUUAAAAUAAAACCAUAAGAACUAAACAGAUGUCGACUUUAAACGACAAGGACUAUACAAUAUUUUACUCUAUUUAAAAACAAGAAUAAUCUACCAACUCUAAUUAUGACUCAUGAUCCUUAAAAAUAAUCAUAUAAUAUGAAAACUUGUUUUAUCUUACCUAUGAGCCGUUGGCGAUCAAGCUCAUAUAUUUUAAAACAACCAAUUUUAAAAUUAUAAUCAUCAUAAUCAUCAAUAAUAAUCAUCAUCAUAAGUCAUCAUCAUUUUAUCAUCAUAAACCUUAUCAUCAUCACUAUCAUCAUCAUAAUAAUCAUUAUCAUCAACACAAUAAUUAUCAUAAUCAUCAUCAAUAAAUAAUUCAUCAAUAAUUGGUUCCAAGUGAACCUUGAUGAGAUGUUACUCACCUAUAUAUUCCCGCUGUGUCUUCACCAAAGAAACUCAAGAACCAACUCUCAAAAACAACUCCACAAGCUACCUAAACAACACAAAUACUAACCUUAGUAACCAAACAAACUAAAGAGAAUAUUGCACCCUUAACAAACAUUAACCCAAGGGAGGACAACUUUCCAAGGUCGUCAUAGUAAUGACUCAAUAAAGCUGCCUCUAAUCCUCAAAACCUAAACUCAAACCUCACAAAAGCCUAAGAUUAAACUUAAUGUCUUAACAUGCAAACCUUACACCAAACCUAGAAUUUCCACAUCUCAACAAGCUCACAAUAACAAGAGCUAGCUAACCACAGAAACCUAGAGCUAGGAAACUGCCGGAUGCGUUGCCACGCGCCGCCACAGGCAGUGGUGAGUGGGCCCCACAUGCCACCCCAAAACUUCAAAAUCUACACAAACUCCGAACAACAACCUUAUAGAGCACAGCAAAAGGAACACUUUUUAUACCUAAGGCUAAGCUCGAUUCAGCCUUGAACUGCCCCAAACAGCCACCACAAGCUCCGCCCCCAAAUCUGCAAACUAGUGCCUCAAACUUCAAACUUUAGAUCACAAGAGAGGCAUAAACAUCUCUAGAGGGAAGAGGAGAGCAAGACUCACCCAACUCCGGCCUAAAACAUCAUCGAAAACAACGAAAUCCCGGCAAGACCACCACAACUCCUCUGCCUAGCAGCGGCGUUUAGGCGGCGAGACGACGAGCGGUGCUGCCCUAGGAAUGGAGGGGAGGUCUGUGAGCACCGAACGAGACCGGCGACGCUCGAAUCGGCGGCCGGACGGUAGACCUCUACUUCAGGGAACCUCGCGAAGCUUCUCCGGUGCCGCCCUUCGCUCCGACCCAAGCCACCGUGUGAGCUGCCGUAAAUGGAGGAGAGUGAUCAAGCGAGUCGAACUAGACCAGAUGUGACCAAAACGGUGGCCGGACGACCGAGUUUCAUGCCGGCGACAGUGAGGGUGCGGGGGCGGCUCGGGAGGAAAGAGAGAGAAGGACUUGGGGUUUUCUAAAAACAACCCUCACAUUUUUUCUAUUUAACCCAAAAUCCCAUAAAGCCACGAACUUCCGCUGACCAUAACUUUCUCAUACGAAGUCUAUUUUACGCGUGCCACAUGUCUACGAACUCAUAUCGCCAUGCUCUACAACUUUUGUGAAGGAAGUUUCUUGAGAAACCCAAUGAAUACAAAGUCAACCGAAUAAAAAAAAUAAAAGAAACUAGUAUCUAAAAUUACGGGGUAUUACAAUUCCAGACAUAUUUAGUAGGAAAUUCAACGUAAGUUAGUUGUCUUGCUUCUUUGGAUUGCUUGUUCACUUCAAACCAAUCAGUUAGUGUAGUGUGAUCAUUCCCUUGAUAUUCAAUAACUGAUUGAAGAGAAGUAGAUUCUUUAAAAAUUAUAUUUUUUUCUGAAGGUAGAUAGACAACCAAAUAUUGUGCAGGAGGAUGUGAAUUAAAUAUUCAAACAAUCUUCAUACAGAUUCGUGAGGACUUAAAUAGCGACAGUUAAGAUAAGUUUGGAUCUCCGUCAUUUUUAUUCUUAUUCAAAAAAAUUUGAGCUUUGUCUAGACCUUUAUUAAUGUAUUUGAACAAAUAUUUGAUCAACAUUGAUUGUGAACAUGAUUUGACAUUAAUAUGAGCAUUGUAUCUCACUAAAAACUAAUUUAGAGUUGUAAGGUACAACAAAAUUGUUUCCAAUAAGAACUUCAUCUAUUAACACAAAUUUUGUUUUGUCAUCGCGUCUUCUAUAUGAAGGUGGUUUAAUUCCCUGAAAUAUGGUAUCAACAUUGUAAGGCUUUGGGAAAAUUUUAGAACAUUUUUCAUCUCACAUGCAAGGAGAUUUUAAGUUUAUUGGUUCGCAAGGUCCGUGAAUCAUAAACUGACUAACAAUUUCAAAAAUGUGUGAAUCAUUUUUAUCAAGAAGUUCAGUAGAAAUAAUAGAAUUUACAUCGCUCGAUAUAUAGCAUUUAUAUGCUUUUUUUUUUCUAACCAAAACAACAUAUGAGCAUGGAGUAGCUAGUUCUCUUUUUUGAAAUUCGACUGUGUAUACAUUUGCCUAAACUUCUCUAAAAGGUUUUCCGGAUUUGAUAUAUGCUAUCAUAUCCUCUAAUUUCAAUUGGAAAAUUGGUGAGGUAAUAUCUAGUCUAUCUUGUAAUACCCUAGAUUUUCAUAUAAUUUUUUCUUGUAUUAUUCCUUUAUUUAAUGAAGGAUUAUUUAUGGAAAUUCUUUGGUUUAUGCGAAGUUGAAGUUUCGGGAGUUUAUUUAAGGUGCUUUGACUUUUAAGAGGCCAAAAGUUGACUUUAUUUUUCGUAAGUUAUCUUUGAAAACUUCCUUCAUGAAAGUUGUAGAGUUUGUCGAUACGAGUUUGUAGACAUGUGGCACGCUUGAAACAGAUAUCAUAUGAGAAAGUUAUGGUCAGAGGAAGUUAGUUUCCGGGAUUAGAAAGUGUAUAAAUAGAAAAAUGUGUGUGGGAGUUAUUUUGGAACCCUAAAAAGUCAGCCUCCCUCUCUUUUCUCUCUUCCUCUCCCGAGCUCUCUCGAGGACCAAGCUUCCACCGGGGCUAGCUCCGCCGUCCGGCCACCACUUGGACCGCCACCAGUCCCGUUCGACUCCCACAAGUGCUCUCUUCAAGGCUGGGCAACUGCUGCUCGGUGUGGCACGCCAGAAUUGGAGCCUUAUUGCCGGAAAGAGGGCUGCUGCGUUUCCGGUCGGUUUUGCCGUUUCCGGCGGCGACGAGGGGCAUCUUUAGGUGAGUCUUGAUCCUCUCCUCCUCCUAUUUGUGUCUAGGCAUAGAUUGAAGCAAGUUUUUGAGGCCGGUUUUGCAGGUUUUGUAGUUGAAUUUCUGGUCACGGUUCGAGGCAGUUUCCGGCCGGUUCCGGCCAAAAUUUGUUAAAGUCUCAGGUAUGAAAGUUGUUCCCCUUGCUUCAAGCUUCAACUUUGCUGUUGAAAGUUUUCUCAAAUUCGGAAGUUGGUGGUGGCGCUUGGGGCCCACUCGCCGCCGCCUGUGGCGGCGUGUGGCGGCGCGUCCGGCAGUGUUUUUGGCUUAGGUUGCUGUGUUUUAACUAGCUCUUGUUGUGGUGAGCUUGUGGAGAUGUAGAAUUUUUAGGUUGUGAGAAAUGUUUGUAUGUUAGGACUUUAAGUUUGUUAGUAGACUUGGUGGAGGUUUGAGUUCGGAUUUGAGGAUUAGAGGCAGCCAUUUUCGGUCUCUAAGUUCGACGACUUUGGAAAGUUGUCCUCCCUUGAACUAAGGGUUAGUUUAAGGGUAUUGUGAUAACCUAUAGUAAUGUAGUUACUAAGGUUUUAAUUGUGUUAUUUUUAGGUGAUUUGUGAAGUUGUGUUUGGUUUGCUAUUGUUAGCUUGUGGAAUUUGCAGCGGGAUUUUUAGGUGAGUAAAUCUCACUAAGGUUCACUUUUGAACCAAAUGUUAUUAUGGUCAUGUGAUGAUGAUAAUGAUGGAUUUAAUAAUAUGCUUUUAAUUGUUUUUAAAAAAAAUAUGAGCUUGAUCGUCAACGGCUCAUAGGUAAGAUAAAACAAGUUUUCUUUAAAUGUUAUUCUGAGAUUCAUGUGAUCAUAAUUUUAUUGAUUAUUGAUAGAUUAUUCUUAUGGAAUAUCUAUAAUUUAUUCAUGUAAAUAUAUCCAUGUGGUAAGAUAUAAUUUAUGAUGUGAUAUUGUGUUGUUGAGAAUAAUGAUGUGAUAUUGUGUUGUUAAGAAUAAUGAUGUGAUAUUAUGAUUGUUGGAUAAAUAGCCAAACCGGGUUCCAAGCCUUUAAUUGGGUGAUUGGUUGCGGUUAAGAUGCUAUUUAUCAUUUUUGUGUUUGAUAUUAGACAGUCAAACCGGGUUCCAAGCCUUUGGCCGGGUGAUUGGUUGCGGUUAGGAAUAAAGCUCUAGUCCGUCUGUCAAUGUAGGUCAUGGGAGAUACCGUAUGGUAUCUGGGGCCCAUGGGUACACAUUUUGUUGUUGUAGGUUAUGAGGGGUAUUUAUUAAUACCUGGGACUCAUGGGUACAUGUUAAUUGAGAAAGUGUUCGAUUUGUGGAUUUAAUUAUUGAUUUAAUUGUUCUUGUGAUAUAAUUGGUAAUUGGAGGUUUUUGUGUUAUUUUGAGAAUUACUCAUACGGGCUUUUUAACUUUUCGAGUUUGUUGUUUACAACCCGGUGCACCAAUUCUUGGUGUAGGGGUUAGACCUGCAGGUGAGGAUCAGCAGGGUUGAGGCGGAGGCUUAGUGACAGGGUUUUUUUGUUAGGUUUUGUUGUACAUUGUAUAUUUCCAUAUUUGGGGUAGACAACAUUAAACUCAUGUGAGCGUUUUCAUUUUCUUGACUUUCAAGUUUAUGUAAAUAAAGGAAAUGUAAUAUUUGUAAUAUUUAACUCAGUGUUGAGUUGUGUAACGUUUACAUUUUCCGCAUUGAGUUUAGUUUUCCUUGAAAUUUGUUUGAAACAAGUUUUGGGAUUACAUUAUUAUAAGUUAUAUCAUGCCAAAAUUUUUGAAAAUUAUCAUUCGAAAAUUUGGGUGUGACAUAUCUUCUUGUCCAUAUCCAGUGUUGUUUCAAAAGUAUCUUAUUAUCUCUGGCUAUUUAGGAUUAUAAGUAAAAGUUAUAAAUAGAUCUGGAUUGUCAUAUUGCCUGCAAAUUGCCAUUGCAUCUCGAUAAUUGUUAAUCAUGUUUCGAGAACUUCCUGUAUGAGAACUUGAAAGAAUGAUUCUCUGUCCCACAUCGCUACUUUCAAUAACUCCAGAUUAAGCAACAGCUAAUACAUCCAUUUUUUUAACUGAAUUUAUCUUGGUUUUUUUCUGAUGUAAUCUAAACGAUUUUCUGCAACAGUUGCAUACACAUCGACUAAAUAUUGUUGAAACAAUCUUCCACCUUUUAAGAGAGUGCUUGUUCUAUUACUUUUAUCAUGAAUUUUAUAUGCAACAUAAUUAUCAAUCGUCAUUCUUUUUCCCUUAUCAUCUUCAUUUUUUGAAGUUGGUGUUAAUUUUAAGCUCGUUUUAUA